rnacentral:rRNA from 1 species
UACGGAGGAUGCGAGCGUUAUCCGGAUUUAUUGGGUUUAAAGGGUGCGUAGGCGGAUCGUUAAGUCAGUGGUCAAAUUGAGGGGCUCAACCCCUUCCCGCCAUUGAAACUGGCAGACUUGAGUUGGCGAGAAGUACGCGGAAUGCGCGGUGUAGCGGUGAAAUGCAUAGAUAUCGCGCAGAACUCCGAUUGCGAAGGCAGCGUACCGGCGCCAGACUGACGCUGAGGCACGAAAGCGUGGGGAUCGAACAGG